rnacentral:rRNA from 1 species
CCUACGGGAGGCAGCAGUGAGGAAUUUUCCGCAAUGGGCGAAAGCCUGACGGAGCAACGCCGCGUGAGGGAGGAAGGUCUUUGGAUUGUAAACCUCUUUUCUCAAGGAAGAAGUUCUGACGGUACUUGAGGAAUCAGCCUCGGCUAACUCCGUGCCAGCAGCCGCGGUAAU